UUGGGUGAGAGUGGCGGACGGGUGAGUAAUGUCUGGGAAACUGCCCGAUGGAGGGGGAUAACUACUGGAAACGGUAGCUAAUACCGCAUAACGUCUUCGGACCAAAGUGGGGGACCUUCGGGCCUCACACCAUCGGAUGUGCCCAGAUGGGAUUAGCUAGUAGGUGGGGUAACGGCUCACCUAGGCGACGAUCCCUAGCUGGUCUGAGAGGAUGACCAGCCACACUGGAACUGAGACACGGUCCAGACUCCUACGGGAGGCAGCAGUGGGGAAUAUUGCACAAUGGGCGCAAGCCUGAUGCAGCCAUGCCGCGUGUAUGAAGAAGGCCUUCGGGUUGUAAAGUACUUUCAGUGGGGAGGAAGGCGAUGAAGUUAAUAACUUCUUCGAUUGACGUUACCCGCACAAAAAACACCGGCUAACUCCGUGCCAGCAGCCGCGGUAAUACGGAGGGUGCAAGCGUUAAUCGGAAUUACUGGGCGUAAAGCGCACGCAGGCGGUCUGUCAAGUCGGAUGUGAAAUCCCCGGGCUCAACCUGGGAACUGCAUUCGAAACUGGCAGG
rnacentral:rRNA from 1 species